UUUUUCGGUAAAGGUUGUCUAGAGAGUACUAGAGAGGUGGUAAAACUUUGUCUAAAUGUGCAUAAUGUAUCUUUGAAUGAAAAAUACUUGUGAAUGCCUUAUGAUGUUGGAAGAUCAAAGAAUGAGACAUUCAAAUACUUAAAAGAUAGAGUGUGGAAUAAAAUCUAG
rnacentral:rRNA from 1 species